rnacentral:rRNA from 1 species
GUCCAGACUCCUACGGGAGGCAGCAGUGGGGAAUAUUGCACAAUGGGGGGAACCCUGAUGCAGCGAUGCCGCGUGGAGGAAGAAGGUUUUCGGAUUGUAAACUCCUUUUAUCAGGGACGAUAAUGACGGUACCUGAAGAAAAAGCAUCGGCUAACUCCGUGCCAGCAGCCGCGGUAAUACGGAGGAUGCGAGCGUUAUCCGGAUUUAUUGGGUUUAAAGGGUGCGUAGGCGGAAGGUUAAGUCAGCGGUCAAAUGUCGGUGCUCAACACCGGCCUGCCGUUGAAACUGGUCUUCUUGAGUGAGCGAGAAGUAUGCGGAAUGCGUGGUGUAGCGGUGAAAUGCAUAGAUAUCACGCAGAACUCCGAUUGCGAAGGCAGCGUACCGGCGCUCAACUGACGCUGAGGCACGAAAGCGUGGGGAUCGAACAGGAUUAGAUACCCUCGUAACG